ACACACAAAAAAGCUCACUUAAAGUCAUCCAUCACACCAGUACUUAGCCAUUCCAAUACAAGUCUGAAUGCACUAAAACCAUUGGGCAGAGCAGAUAUGAACAGAAUGCAUAUCUUGUUCAAGCAUGCUGUUAUGUUAUUGUUAACAAGGUAACUUAUUAUAAUAUCAUACUUGUAUACUUGUAUUUGAAAUAAUUUUUCUGACCACGCACCUGAACUAAACCUUUUGCUUGUGUAAAAAUUAAAUUAAUAACAAUAUUAAAAUAUCAUCUGCUUUCUGUCCAGCAAACAAUAUGUUCCUUCUGUUUGUUUUUUUUUUUUUUUAAGAUACCCAAGAUUCACUGUGCUAGCUAUGUGGCUUUUAGUCCUCUAUAAGUAUGAACACACUUCAGAAGUUUUUGAAAUAUUAAAGCAGAACUAAAGUAAAACAAAAACUUGUCUUAAAAAGGUUGAUUUGAGUCUAAGGUUGCCAGAUGCUCCUUCUGAUGCCCUGCCCCUCCCUUUCUCUACUCCUCCCAAUUUUCACCACCCAGCCAAAAAGUGGAUGCACUGGAUUAUAGCAAACAAUCCCUUCAAGGCAAGAUGGCAAAGACAAUCCACCACAAGACUCUUUUGCACACUAAAAUGUGUUGUAUACAUGUAAACAAGUUUUGUUGGAAAAAAAACAUCUCCCAAGUAAAUACAUGUAAAUUGCACAGCACUCAGGAUAAAGUAUAUAGGCCUGGUAGACCAGGACAAAUAAUCUGGUUACAGCCUAAUGCUAUCAGUUGGGCAAGAUGACUGAUUUGAGUGACACUAAGUAGCCACCUCACAGCUGUCUUCACAAAGUUUUCUUUUUCUUUUGCAGUUGUUCCCCAUCCACUCAUUGCUAAGAUAAUCAGAAAGGUAGAGCUGUGGGAUGUGCCUGUCUGAUAGUGUUCAAUUGUCAGUUUAGGAGUAUGCAAUGACAAUGCCUUGUAACAGAUUCUCUUGUUUUAAUUUUGACUUUUUCAUUUCCCAAAUGAGUACUUAAAAGAAUUGGAAAAAUGACAUAGAAGUUGGACUGUCUAUUUGUUUAAUUGCAUUUUUAGGUUAUGAUAAAAAUGCUACUUAGACAGUGUUAUGUUUAUUUAUUUUUUUUUUUUUGUUUUUUUACAGCACAAGUUACAGAACUUUGCUCCUUUUCAGUCACUUGAGGAUCAAGCCCAACUUUGGACAUUGGACAAGAAGCAGCAAAGGAAACCCAGGCAUAUUAAAAUAUUGGCUCUGCUGUGCUCUUAUGUGCAGAUGUGAUGAUCAUCUAUAUCCGGAGGAUGAAAGAGAAUAUCCACUAGGUUCGAGGCCUGUGUUCCCAAAACUGUAUUAAGGAUAGCACCGUGGGAGAAUACUUGGUGCUUCAGACUCAAGUUUCAAGCAUCCUUGGUUCAAAUUCUGCACCUGGUUGUUGCCUUUGUGGAGUUAACAUUUUCUCAAUGAGUCAGCACUGAUUCUUCUACAGUAGAAGAGAGUAUCACCAAACAACAAUGAUGUCAACUCCAGCUCCAUCUCUUCCAGGUGAAACCAUAUAAAAAGAAGACAUAAACAAGAAGCCAGCAUCAUCUAAUCUGGAUGGAAAAAUAAGAAAAUACUGAAUUAUCCUAAGAUGCCAAGAAUUCUACUUUGUGGGGAAAAGUUUAAAA